GCCUCGGUUCAUUUGUGAGAAAGCUCAGCCUGGUUAGAGCGUUUCCUUGGUAAGGAAAAGGUCCCGGGUUCAAAUCCCGGCCGAGGCU
rnacentral:tRNA from 1 species